rnacentral:tRNA from 1 species
GGGGUUAUAGCUCAGCUGGGAGAGCGCCUGCCUUGCACGCAGGAGGUCUGCGGUUCGAUCCCGUAUAGCUCCACCA